UUAGGAAUCUUGCGCAAUGGGCGAAAGCCUGACGCAGCGACGCCGCGUGACUGACGAAGUCCUUCGGGAUGUAAAAGUCUUUUGCCAGGGAAGAAGAUCUGACGGUACCUGGCGAAUAAGCCCCGGCUAACUACGUGCCAGCAGCCGCGGUAAUACGUAGGGGGCGAGCGUUGUCCGAAGUUACUGGGCGUAAAGCGCGCGUAGGCGGUCGCUUAAGUUGGAUGUGAAAUCCUGGGGCCCAACCCCAGAACUGCAUCCAAAACUGGGCGACUUGAGGACGGGAGAGGGCAGUGGAAUUCCUGGUGUAGCGGUGAAAUGCGUAGAUAUCAGGAGGAACACCCGUGGCGAAGGCGGCUGCCUGGUCCGUAUCUGACGCUGAGGCGCGAAAGCUAGGGGAGCGAACGGG
rnacentral:rRNA from 1 species